rnacentral:lncRNA from 1 species
GUCAGAUGCUAUUAAAGUUUUACUGAAUUAAAUUGAAGAAACUAAUUUUGCUCUUAGUAUUUUAUUUCAGUGUGUAACUUGAUUUUUAAGAAGCACUUUGUAUGGCGUGGCCAUUUGCAUUUGCUUUAUAAGCAUAACAUAAAGGUUUCCCUGGAGUCAUGGAUAAAUUGCCUUCUACGUCCCCAUCCUAAUUAACACCAUGUAUGUUGCCUAACUCCUUAUAAUUCACCCCCGUGCACAGUAUAUAGAACAUGAUUGGAAAAAUAAUUUGAAGCAAUGAGAAAAAAAAACUUUUGUCAUAUAUAGGAUACAGCCAAGUACAUUCCCAAUCAAAUUAGAUUAAAAAAGAAAGGACAGCGGCGCUGAGACAUCUGGCGUUGAAAAUAGACACCGAAGGCUUAAUUAAAAUGUGUGGCUGUGUUUUUAAAGGAGACUGCAGCAAAAGACAGACACAAAACCCUAACAGCGUGGGGACCUGGCCACGUCUCUGUGACCACGUUGGAGCUGCCCCAGUCCUCGGGAGAGUUCCCAACCCUGCAGCUCGUUCUGCAGCCCCAAUAAUUGCAGGGCUGGGGUCUGCCAUGGGGACACAGACUGAUGAGCUGCUGCAGCUGACCUGGAAGACUAAUGCAAUUUGGAGAGAGAGCAAGUGUCAGAGGGCUCAGUUCUCUAGUGCACCAGCAAUGGGACCAAACUCCAACUGGAGAGGUUAACUCCUUACCCCCUGCUCGUUCACACAAGUUAAUCAGAUCGUGUGUGUGUGAUCCAGGACAUUGCUGCAGGACAUUGCUGCACCCUGCAUCAAUUACACAUGGAGGCAGGCAAAGAACUGAAGAGCCUACAGCUGCUCAACAGCAGCACUUGUCACAUCAGCCAAAGCAGCUGUCACAUCGUCUGGGAUCUGCCCCACCCCUGGAGGUGUCCAAGGAAGAGAAAGAAAGAAAGAAAGAAAACUGUCCACCCUUUUCAGAAACCAC